rnacentral:rRNA from 1 species
AGUAAUGCUUGGGAAUCUAGCUUAUGGAGGGGGAUAACUACGGGAAACUGUGCUAAUACCGCGUAGAAUCGAGAGAUGAAAGUGUGGGACCUUCGGGCCACAUGCCAUAGGAUGAGCCCAAGUGGGAUUAGGUAGUUGGUGAGGUAAAGGCUCACCAAGCCGACGAUCUCUAGCUGGUCUGAGAGGAUGACCAGCCACACUGGGACUGAGACACGGCCCAG